rnacentral:rRNA from 1 species
GACGAACGCUGGCGGCGUGCUUAACACAUGCAAGUCGAGCGGUAAGGCCCUUUCGGGGGUACACGAGCGGCGAACGGGUGAGUAACACGUGGGUGACCUGCCCUCAGCUCUGGGAUAAGCCUGGGAAACUGGGUCUAAUACUGGAUAUGACUCCACGGUGCAUGUCGUGGGGUGGAAAGCCUUGUGCGGCUGAGGAUGGGCCCGCGGCCUAUCAGCUUGUUGGUGGGGNGAUGGCCUACCAAGGCGACGACGGGUAGCCGGCCUGAGAGGGCGACCGGCCACACUGGGACUGAGACACGGCCCAGACUCCUACGGGAGGGCAGCAGGUGGGGAAUCUUGCGCAAUGGGCGAAAGCCUGACGCAGCGACGCCGCGUGAGGGAUGACGGCC